rnacentral:rRNA from 1 species
UACGUAGGGGGCAAGCGUUGUCCGGAUUUAUUGGGCGUAAAGCGCGUGUAGGCGGCCAGGUAGGUCCGCUGUGAAAACCCGAGGCUCAACCUCGGGACGUCGGCGGAAACCAUCUGGCUAGAGUCCGGAAGAGGAGAGUGGAAUUCCCGGUGUAGCGGUGAAAUGCGCAGAUAUCGGGAAGAACACCCGUGGCGAAAGCGGCUCUCUGGGACGGUACUGACGCUGAGACGGCGAAAAGCG